AAAGGGUGAUAGCCCCGUACACUAAAAUGCACAGGUCGUGAGUUCGAUGAGUAGGGCGGGACACGUGACAUCCUGUCUGAAUAUGGGGGGACCAUCCUCCAAGGCUAAAUACUCCUGACUGACCGAUAGUGAACCAGUACCGUGAGGGAAAGGCGAAAAGAACCCCGGCGAGGGGAGUGAAAUAGAACCUGAAACCGUGUACGUACAAGCAGUGGGAGCACCUUCGUGGUGUGACUGCGUACCUUUUGUAUAAUGGGUCAGCGACUUAUAUUUUGUAGCAAGGUUAACCGUAUAGGGGAGCCGUAGGGAAACCGAGUCUUAACUGGGCGAAUAGUUGCAAGGUAUAGACCCGAAACCCGGUGAUCUAGCCAUGGGCAGGUUGAAGGUUGGGUAACACUAACUGGAGGACCGAACCGACUAAUGUUGAAAAAUUAGCGGAUGACUUGUGGCUGGGGGUGAAAGGCCAAUCAAACCGGGAGAUAGCUGGUUCUCCCCGAAAGCUAUUUAGGUAGCGCCUCGUGAACUCAUCUUCGGGGGUAGAGCACUGUUUCGGCUAGGGGGCCAUCCCGGCUUACCAAACCGAUGCAAACUCCGAAUACCGAAGAAUGUUAUCACGGGAGACACACGGCGGGUGCUAACGUCCGUCGUGAAGAGGGAAACAACCCAGACCGCCAGCUAAGGUCCCAAAGUCAUGGUUAAGUGGGAAACGAUGUGGGAAGGCAUAGACAGCCAGGAUGUUGGCUUAGAAGCAGCCAUCAUUUAAAGAAAGCGUAAUAGCUCACUGGUCGAGUCGGCCUGCGCGGAAGAUGUAACGGGGCUAAACCAUGCACCGAAGCUGCGGCAGCGACGCUUAGGCGUUGUUGGGUAGGGGAGCGUUCUGUAAGCCGUUGAAGGUGGCCUGUGAGGGUUGCUGGAGGUAUCAGAAGUGCGAAUGCUGACAUAAGUAACGAUAAAGCGGGUGAAAAGCCCGCUCGCCGGAAGACCAAGGGUUCCUGUCCAACGUUAAUCGGGGCAGGGUGAGUCGACCCCUAAGGCGAGGCUGAAAAGCGUAGUCGAUGGGAAACAGGUUAAUAUUCCUGUACUUGGUGUUACUGCGAAGGGGGGACGGAGAAGGCUAGGCUAGCCGGGCGACGGUUGUCCCGGUUUAAGCGUGUAGGGGGUGUGACCUGGUAAAUCCGGUUACAUACUAACCCUGAGGCGUGAUGACGAUGCACUACGGUGCAGAAGUAGUUGAUGCCCUGCUUCCAGGAAAAGCCUCUAAGCUCUAGGUAACAUU
rnacentral:rRNA from 1 species